GCUGGCGUAGCUCAGUUGGUAGAGCAGCUGAUUUGUAAUCAGCAGGCCACGGGUUCGAUUCCUGUCGCCAGCACCA
rnacentral:tRNA from 1 species